rnacentral:rRNA from 1 species
GACGAACGCUGGCGGCGUGCUUAAUACAUGCAAGUCAACUGAACUUGAGGUAGUAAUAUUUCAAGGGAGGUGGCGCACGGGUGAGUAACACGUAGGUAAUCUGCCUUUAGGUCUGACAUAAUCCCGCGAAAGCGGGACUAAAAUCAGAUGAUGCAGCGGCUCGACAUCGAGACAGUUGUUAAACCUUCGGGGCCUAAAGAUGAGCCUGCGUCUGAUUAGGUAGUUGGCGGAGUAAAAGCCCACCAAGCCUGCGAUCAGUAGCUGGUCUGAGAGGAUGAUCAGCCACACUGGAACUGAGACACGGUCCAGACUCCUACGGGAGGCAGCAGUAAGGAAUAUUGCUCAAUGGCCGAAAGGCUGAAG